GACGCAGAAGGGUUUAAGGCAGGACUUGAUAGGAAAGUGAUGAAAAUUGCCAUCAUCGGUGAAUGGUCCACCCCAGGAUCUGACUGCAAGACAGCAACCAUCGUGGUCGAGGGAACCAAAAUCCUGGAAGGAACGGAUAUCCCAAGCAAAAAGAUGAAGGGAAUGAUGGAAAAGACGGGAAACCCCGCUCUCUCCGUUUCACCUGGAGUAUGAAUACCACCAGCAGCAUGGAGCCAGCCGCCAUCAUGAACGAAAUCUGCAAAGUUCCAGACGCCAACAACUGUCUAUAUAUAUUCAUGUAGAAGAAAAAUGAAACUUAAAUUCUAUAUAGAGAAACAAAGCUGUACAAUCACAAACGUAGCAGUUCGCAAAAUGCAUGUUUUUUUUUAACAAACCACUGACCCUAUGUAUUUCAAGUGUAUAGACUUUAACAUUUCUAAAAGCAAUAAUUUAAAUGUCACAAGUUGUUAAACACUGUAAAAGAGAACGUAUUUGAAUCUUUUUCUCAAGAAUGUGCACGCCUAGGCGCACACACUCCAUCUCCCUUACAGGGUGACAAUGUCAAGAUGUGGCAUAAAAAUGUAAAACCAGGGAUAUACAUUAUUCGUCUUCAGACAGUGUUAAUGUUAUAGGUAUUUGGUGUUUUGAGUAGCCUGUAUGUAAAGGCUAUGUAAAAUCUUUGAAGAGCCAACAUGUUUUUAAAUUGCUUCAGUUAUUCUGCACCUCAUUCAGGUUUGUUGUCAAGGUUUUGUGCUUGUACUUGAAUGUGAUCCAGCGACCUAGUUUGAGUUCACUUUCACUAUGUGAAUGCUGCAAGACCGCAGUGAAAAGUUUUAUCUAUUUUAUGCCCAUGUCUCGUGUAAAUAAUGCACCUUUUGAUUUUAGUUAUUACAUUGUUGCCAUUGCUCAUACUCUCAAGAGCUCUAAUGUUUUAAAGAGCUACUUGUAAUUGCUCACAAUUAUGGAUUCUAUUAAAUCAGCUGUACAUGAC